rnacentral:rRNA from 1 species
UAGGGAAUCUUCGGCAAUGGACGGAAGUCUGACCGAGCAACGCCGCGUGAGUGAAGAAGGUUUUCGGAUCGUAAAGCUCUGUUGUUAGAGAAGAACGUUGGUAGGAGUGGAAAAUCUACCAAGUGACGGUAACUAACCAGAAAGGGACGGCUAACUACGUGCCAGCAGCCGCGGUAAUACGUAGGUCCCGAGCGUUGCCCGGACUUAUUGGGCGUAAAGCGAGCGCAGGCGGUUCUUUAAGUCUGAAGUUAAAGGCAGUGGCUUAACCAUUGUACGCUUUGGAAACUGGAGGGCUUGAGUGCAGAAGGGGGGAGUGGAAUUCCAUGUGUAACGGUGAAAUGCGUAGAUAUAUGGAGGAACACCGGUGGCGAAAGCGGCUCUCUGGUCUGUAACUGACGCUGAGGCUCGAAAGCGUGGGGAGCAAACAGG